GCAGAAAUUGAUUGUAGAGAGCUUUUCCUCCCACUGAAAAUUGUGAAGUAGAUGAAGACCUUGUGCAUCUAUCCUUCCUGCCUCUUUCACCUUCCCCAGGUACACAGCACUCAGUGUUUUUAUACUACUCUGGUUCCUUAGAAUCCAAAAGGACAUUUUGUUUUUCAGGUGGUAGAUCAUUUACUCACAACUUCUGUCAUGCAAACCCACUGCCCAGUAAUCCUCAGAUUCUGCUAGAUGAUAGUCAAUACAUACUAAGAACUAAUUCAAAAUGAGAGAACAAUCUACCCAUUCCACUUCCUGGGAGAUCCUGGCCUGAUGCAGUCACUAUUUUAGAAAGACCAGUCCUGGAACCAAGCAGGGACUUUUCAAAUGAAGACCCACCAGCCCCAUCGGCAUGCUGGUCGAGAGAUGUGUAACCUCAUAAUGAUUACAAGUUUGCCUCCAGCUCUGGAAUCAGGAGAGGAACUAACAGUCAUGGGAACUGAGAGUCGACCUCAGACUUGGCCUCUCAUCCAUGAGGAGGGCUGUAACUGAAGUCAGCAUCCCACUCAGCAUUGGCAACCUUCUCAAAGCAUAGCAGGCUACAACCUUCCAAGAGCUCCAAAUUUGCCAGGUAUGUGGGCUUUCCUAACCAAAUCCCAUAUAAUCUGUCAUCCAAACCCAAGCUUUCUGGAACCCAGCUUUGCCCUGGGCUCCAGAUAACAAUGCACACAUGCUUCCUGUAUAGAGCAGAAAGGCCACAAAAUUUUGUAUUCUCUGCUUCCUCCAGAGAAUACACCACUAUAGCUCUAGCAACUUCACUUAGGUCCCAAGGGUUCUCUAUGAUAGGAUGACAAGAUGUUGGUACAUGUGCCUCUCUUUAUGGGCCCUGGUUUGCAAAUUGCCCUCAUAAAGACCACUACUUAACCAAUACAAAAUGGCACUGUGGAACUUGUCUUUACCCACCUUCGUCCGUAACUAUCAUCUACCUCCUGAGCAACAUCACUGGAAAAGUUUUUUAUACAUUGCAUAUUCUCUUGUUAAUAUCCCGGCUCCCUGCAUUUCUCCUCUGCUUUCACUCCUCACCAUCUGAUUAGUUUCAGGAAAUUAGAGUGCAUCUUACAGGAGCAAACCACCCUUUUCCUAAGCUCCUAUUUUCCUAUAAUUUAGUGCUGUUUUUCUAUGUUACCAGAAAAUAUGGUCACCAAGGAUAGAUACUGUCACUAACUUUAAAAACACAUUCUGGAUCCAUUCACUAACUGCUAAUGUAGUGAUAUUCCAAAGAAAUCUUAAAUGAUUUAUGAAUGUUCCUGAUAACCCAAAAUCAACACUGCCCUCCAAACCUAAGAAAUAUUUUCUUUCCCUUCCCACAUAUUUGCCUCUUUUAUAGAGCUUUGUGUUUUUGUGCCAUUUCCACGAGUACCAUUGAGCAACCUUCCAUUUAUUUCAGGAUGUCAUGGCUUUAACAAUUUUUAGCUGUGUUUAGGACUCUUGUUCUUUCUUUCUUUUUUUUUCUUUCUUUCUCCCUUCUCCCCCUCCCCCCCAACUUUUUUUUUCCUUUUCAGUUCCUGUGACCCAGUAAUUGUUUUCCUGGCUUACUAGUCAAGUGAGAAAUGCUCUGAUAGCAUGUCAAGAAAAUGUCAAAUACUGGGGGAGAGACUCUAUGAGUGUUAUUGUGAUUGAUUGCUUAUUUGAAUCUUUUUUGCUCCCAGCUGCUCCUUGGAUGUUGUAUCAAGGAAGAUGAAAACUAUAGCUAAAGCUCCCCUCUAAAACUUUAUAGAAAACAGAGAGCAGGAGAUGGAAGCCAGGCAGGGCUCCUGGGUAGAUCACUGAAGGGAAUAUUGUUUGCAAAAUAUCCAUGGCUUAUAGGACAACCAGGCAAAGUGAGCUGAUGAGAACUGCCCAAAGCCACACAGCUCAAGAGGCACUGAGUUAGGAGUCCUGGCUGUUUUCUGGUGGCUCUGCCUGGAUCUCACAGUGGAAAGCAACACUACCUCUUCUAUAAUCUGAAUUACUGAAGACAUAGCAGAAAAAUGGAGGUGGUAAAACAUAGUCAAGUCCCUAAGAACUGUUAUUCUAUGACAUCUAAUAAAUACCAUCCUCUACCAUUUCCA
rnacentral:lncRNA from 1 species